rnacentral:lncRNA from 1 species
GGGAGUCAUGGGGAACAAAAGCUAAAAGCAAAAAUACAACUAAAAAGCUGCUUCCUGGGCUGGGGCUGUAGCUCAGUGGUAGAGCACUUGCCUCGCAGGUGUGAGGCACUGGGUUCGAUCCUCAGCACCACAUAAAAAUAAAUAAAGACAUUGUGACCAUCUAUAACUAAAAAAUUUCUUUAAAAAAGUUGCUUCCUAAUUUUUAUGCUGAUUACAAAGGUCUCAAGUCAAAACCUAGAGUUUACCAACCUCCUUUGCCACUAUCCUUUUUGUCAUCUUUACAGUGUGACUUGUUUAUUUUCACCCAACAGCUCAGUGUCCCUCUGUCAAUGACAAGCAAGUACUAAAACCACCAUCUAAGGCAUACGUCUGCCAACAGUGUGGCAAAGAAUGGUAUGACCAAAGUAAUGUAUAUCAUUUCACACAACCACCAAGAUAACUGAUACUCUUUGAUAACAUGAUUUUUGUUUAAAGAUUUGUUUGCCACACACAGACUGAAACUAACAAUUUAAAUCCAUAAUCUACGUAUUCUAUGACAUUAAGUCUGAAAUUAAUGCAGAGCAAUUUAACUUAAAUGUGGUACUUCAGUACUACCAAAUGCUAUAUUAUCUUUUUUAAAACCCUAGUUCAAUAAUCAUUUUAUUAAAAUUAAGGAAUGAUUUGCUCAGACAAAUCACAUUUGCUGAAGCUUCAUGUUUCUUGGACCCACAUAAUAAAACUGUAGGAAUGUUAUAGGAAAGACAAAAUUUUAAAAAAUUGUAUAUAUUGAUUUUUUUGAGUUGCUGACUACUUGCAGAAUGAACCAGCACAACUUCAAAACAGUUAAAAAAAAAUGAGGUUGCUUAUGAAUGUCAUACCUUUGGUGACAACUUAGAACCAAACUUUAGAUCUGCAAUUGAUCCAGAUCCAAACUGUUGGCUCGUGCCUGAUGUCCCCAUUUAUUUGCAGUGCUUUAUGGCUUCAGCAUAUUCUUCACUCCUUGCACACAUAACAGACACCAGUACAUCUUCACCUGCAUUGUACUUUCUAUUUCUUUGCCUACCUUAUUUUCUGGCAGUUUAAGAUCCUCAUGAACUUAACCAGUUUCUGUUGUUAGGGAAAGGUAACCAUCCUGAAUGCACAUCAGUUGAUAAUCAUUUCUCUUAAUAUUUGGAACAUCCAUCUUAUGAGUAGAAAGGCACAUAUCUUCAUAUUUUUUGCCUAUGAAAAUAUCAGUUCCAACAAGGUAUACCUUGGAAUGACC